rnacentral:rRNA from 1 species
UACGUAGGGGGCUAGCGUUGUCCGGAAUCAUUGGGCGUAAAGCGCGCGUAGGCGGCCCGGUAAGUCCGCUGUAAAAGUCCAGGGCUCAACCCUGGAAAGCCGGUGGAUACUGUCGGGCUCGAGUCCGGAAGAGGCGAGUGGAAUUCCUGGUGUAGCGGUGGAAUGCGCAGGAUAUCAGGAGGAACACCAGUGGCGAAGGCAGGCUCGCUGGGCCGGAUGACGCUGAGACGACGA